CCGCUGAAAUUUUAAGCAUAUAAUUAAGCGGAGGAAAAGAAACUAACAAGGAUUCCCUCAGUAAGGGCGACUGAAGGGGGAAAAGCUCAACAUGUGAAUCUGCGCCUUGGCGCCGAAUUGUGGUCUGUCGACUCUGGUAUUAUUGGCCCGGCUAAGUCCCUUGGAACAGGGCAGCAUAGAGGGUGAGACUCCCGUCCGCCUGGCCUUUUGAAUCAGAUGUCUCCGAGUCGAGUUGUUUGGGAUUGCAGCUCAAAGCGGGUGGUAAAUUCCAUCUAAAGCUAAAUAUUGGUGGGAGACCGAUAGCGUACAAGUACCGUGAGGGAAAGAUGCAAAGAACUUUGAAAAGAGAGUUAAAGAGUACCUGAAAUUGCUGAAAGGGAAGCGAAGGAAAUCAGUGCUUGCCGAGUCAUAUUUCUCACUUUGCUUGCAGAGUGGGCGCUGUGUCUUGGCGUGUGUCAGGCUUGGUUGGGCUUGUUGGAAUCGCGUGGUGAGAGUUGAUCACUGCAUGUCUGCAAUAAGCUUGACUGAGGUUGACAAAAUGGUUUUCUUUACCCCGUCUUGAACACACG
rnacentral:rRNA from 1 species